AGCUUCGUGGCGCAACGGGAGCGCAAGUGACUCUUAAUCACUGGGUUGUGGGUUCGAUUCCCACCGAAGCUA
rnacentral:tRNA from 1 species